AUGCUGUACGCUCUUGCGAUCUCCUCCAUUGUCAAGGUCACAUCAUGUGCACCGUCCUCAGUCCAACCCCAUGGCAUAAGGAUGAUCGAGUUCAUCGCAAGCAGCAGUCCAUGGCUGCCUUCUUCCACUUUCCUCCGCCUAGGUCCUUUCCUAUGGUGGUGCAAGGUUUCUACUCUUCUCCCUCCCGUGCUCUCUCUCACUAUCCGUGUUCAUUUGUACUGCUGCUUCGAUUUCUUUGUGAUGCAAAUGUUGUUGAUGAACAUUUUUUGUAGUAAAAAGCUACAAAAAAAAUCAGUUUUUCUCGUUGCGAAAAUUUCUGAAUUUUGCUCUGUUCUAGCAGUUCGAAGAAUAAUGUUCACUAGGACUAUUUUGGCGUUACUUUAA
rnacentral:rRNA from 1 species